rnacentral:snRNA from 1 species
GACGCAUGCGCCCGCCGC